rnacentral:lncRNA from 1 species
AUUUUAUUUCACAAGAUAUUUAAUGAUUCUUACUUCACAGAUUUAAUUAUUGUUUAGCUUUGAUUGGAAGGAUCCCUAACAGGUCAUAGCACAACUCAGACAACCUCUACAGAAAUUAACCCUGAAUCCACAUAAUGAACCCCUUAAGUCAUGAUUGCCAAGUGAAUUUGAGUAAGCGAUAUAUGAAUAUCAUUCCAAUUCAGGUGUUGUUUCGCACUUAAAUGGAUUACUUAAACCCUUAUCUUGAUCAGUUUGUAGUGGAAAACCUAAACUCGUCUAGAAAGAGUAGUGCGUACGCAAAUCUUAUAAUAAAAAAGAGAUUUUGGCUAGUAAUGGCAUUUCAAGCUUUUGAGUGUGGACCAAGACCUUUUCUUGUGGAAGACAAAAGCUAUUGUUUGGUGACUUUGGUCUUGCCUAAUCUUAGAAGGCAUUCCUGUUCUAAUGUUUUAAAGGGAAAAGGUUUUCCACAUAUUUCUUCAAAUCAAAGGAAUCUCUUUCACAAGACAAUAUAGUAUAGUAUAGGUUAGGAAGAAGUCUAGGGAGAAGAAUAGGUCAACUAAACCUAAUAGAGGCUACACCACAAGAAGCAUCAAGAAAUUCAAAUGAAAUGAUGAACCCUACUUCCAGAAACAGCACAAGAAUUCUUAACAUAAACUUAAAGAAAAAAACAAGUAUUAAUAGUAAUAGUGAUGUAUUUGAUCCAAUAGAAGCACUGCUCUUUCAUUUCUCAGGUGUUGGACUUAAAUUCAAGUUCCUUAUGCCAAAACAACAAAUAACUAGAACACGGUUCAAAAUGCACAGAGACAAAAAGGAGUUCUAAUCCUGCAAAAUUUCACAUCUCUCUCAAGAUUUAUAUAAGUAUAGGGUAUCAAUUUAUAGUAAAUUAAUUCCUCAAUGUAUAUUCUUAUCUGCAAAAU